rnacentral:rRNA from 1 species
CCCUUAGAUGUUCUGGGCUGCACGCGCGCUACACUGAUGCACUCAACGAGUUUACGACCUUGCCCGAUAGGGUUGGGUAAUCUUUUUAAAAUGCAUCGUGAUGGGGAUAGAUUAUUGCAAUUAUUAAUCUUCAACGAGGAAUUCCUAGUAAGCGCAAGUCAUCAGCUUGCGUUGAUUACGUCCCUGCCCUUUGUACACACCGCCCGUCGCUCCUACCGAUUGAAUGGUCCGGUGAAGCGUUCGGACCGUGGCCUUUGGACGGUUCGCCGUCUGUUGGCUGCGGGAAGUUCGUUAAACCUUAUCAUUUAGAGGAAGGAGAANUCGUANCA